GACGAACGUUGGCGGCGUGUCUAAGGCAUGCAAGUCGAGCGAAUCAUUAUUUGUAGCAAUACUUGUGAUGGUUAGCGGCAAACGGGUGCGUAACACAUUGGUAAUCUGCCUUCUAGUCGGGCAUAACUCACCGAAAGGUGAGCUAAUUCCACGAUACACUCCACAUGUUAGUAGUGUGAGAGGAAAGCGCAAAACGCGCUAGAAGAGGAGCCUAUGGCCUAUCAGCUUGUUGGUGAGGUAACGGCUCACCAAGGCUAUGACGGGUAGGGGGUGUGAGAGCAUGACCCCCCUCACUGGACGUGAGACACUGCCCACGACACCUACGGGUGGGCGUGCAGUCGAGGAA
rnacentral:rRNA from 1 species